GAAGUUUGUAAGAUCGGCUGACCUGGCGGAACAGGCAGAGUUGAUCUGGGUUUAGCGUGUUUCUCUGCGCUGGCUGUGGG